rnacentral:rRNA from 1 species
UACAGAGGGUGCAAGCGUUGUUCGGAAUUAUUGGGCGUAAAGGGCGUGUAGGCGGUGAGUUAAGUCUUCUGUGAAAGCUGCGGGCUUAGCCUGCAAAGUGCAGAGGAAACUGGCUGACUUGAGUGUCGGAGAGGAUAGGGGAAUACCCAGUGUAGAGGUGAAAUUCGUAGAGAUUGGGUGGAACACCAGUGGCGAAGGCGCCUGUCUGGCUGACAACUGACGCUGAGACUCGAAAGCAUGGGGAGCAAACAGG